rnacentral:rRNA from 1 species
GGCGAGUGAAGCGGCAAAAGCUCAAAUUUGAAAUCUGGCGUCUUCGACGUCCGAGUUGUAAUUUGAAGAAGGCGACUUUGUAGCUGGUCCUUGUCUAUGUUCCUUGGAACAGGACGUCAUAGAGGGUGAGAAUCCCGUGUGGCGAGGAUCCCAGUUAUUUGUAAAGUGCUUUCGACGAGUCGAGUUGUUUGGGAAUGCAGCUCUAAGUGGGUGGUAAAUUCCAUCUAAAGCUAAAUAUUGGCGAGAGACCGAUAGCGAACAAGUACAGUGAUGGAAAGAUGAAAAGAACUUUGAAAAGAGAGUGAAAAAGUACGUGAAAUUGUUGAAAGGGAAGGGCAUUUGAUCAGACAUGGCGUUUGCUUCGGCUUUCGCUGGGCCAGCAUCAGUUUUAGCGGUUGGAUAAAUCCUCGGGAAUGUGGCUCUGCUUCGGUAGAGUGUUAUAGCCCGUGGGAAUACAGCCAGCUGGGACUGAGGAUUGCGACUUUUGUCAAGGAUGCUGGCGUAAUGGUUAAAUGCCGCCCGU